UACGGAGGGUGCGAGCGUUGUUCGGAAUCACUGGGCGUAAAGGGCGUGUAGGCGGUCCGCUAAGUCUGAUGUGAAAGCCCGGGGCUCACCCCCCGGAAGUGCAUUGGAAACUGGCGAACUCGAGUCCCGGAGAGGAGAGUGGAAUUCCUGGUGUAGCGGUGAAAUGCGUAGAUAUCAGGAGGAACACCGGUGGCGAAGGCGGCUCUCUGGACGGUGACUGACGCUGAGACGCGAAAGCGUGGGGAGCAAACAGG
rnacentral:rRNA from 1 species